rnacentral:rRNA from 1 species
UAGGCUGAAACUCGCCUACAUGAAGCUGGAGUUACUAGUAAUCGCAGAUCAGAAUGCUGCGGUGAAUGCGUUCCCGGGUCUUGUACACACCGCCCGUCACACCACGGGAGUUGGAGACGCCCGAAGCCGAUUAUCUAACCUUUUGGAAGAAGUCGUCGAAGGUGGAAUCAAUAACUGGGGUGAAGUCGUAACAAGGUAGCCGUAUCGGAAGGUGCGGCUGGAUCACCUCCUUUCUAAGGAGA